AUUGAACGCUGGCGGCAUGCCUUACACAUGCAAGUCGAACGGCAGCACGGGAGCAAUCCUGGUGGCGAGUGGCGAACGGGUGAGUAAUAUAUCGGAACGUGCCCAGUCGUGGGGAUAACGUAGCGAAAGCUACGCUAAUACCGCAUACGAUCUAUGGAUGAAAGCGGGGGAUCGCAAGACCUCGCGCGAUUGGAGCGGCCGAUAUCAGAUUAGGUAGUUGGUGAGGUAAAGGCUCACCAAGCCGACGAUCUGUAGCUGGUCUGAGAGGACGACCAGCCACACUGGGACUGGGACACGGCCCAGACUCCUACGGGAGGCAGCAGUGGGGAAUUUUUGGACAAUGGGUGCAAGCCUGAUCCAGCAAUGCCGCGUGCAGGAUGAAGGCC
rnacentral:rRNA from 1 species